rnacentral:rRNA from 1 species
CUACCACAUCCAAGGAAGGCAGCAGGCGCGCAAAUUACCCACUCCCGGAACGGGGAGGUAGUGACGAAAAAUAACAAUACGGGACUCUUUUGAGACCCCGUAAUUGGAAUGAGUACACUCUAAAUCCUUUAACGAGGACCAAUCGGAGGGCAAACCUGGUGCCAGCAGCUGCGGUAAAUCCAGUUCCGAUAGCGUAUAUUAAAGUUGUUGCAGUUAAAAGGCUCGUAGUUGGAUCUCGGUUCCGGACGGGUGGUCCGCCUACCGGCGGUCACUGCCCGUCUGAACGCGCGGCGUCGGUUUCCCCUGAUGAUCUUCACCGGUUGUCUCGGGUGACCGGCAAGUUUACUUUGAAAAAAUUAGAGUGCUCAAAGCAGGCUCAACGCCUGGACAAUGGUGCAUGGAAUAAUGGAAUAGGACCUCGUUUCUAUUCUGUUGGUCUUCGGAACACGAGGUAAUGAUUAAGAGGGACAGACGGGGGCAUUCGUAUUGUGACGCUAGAGGUGAAAUUCUUGGACCGUCGCAGGACGAACUACUGCGAAAGCAUUUGCCAAGAAUGUUUCCAUUAAUCAAGAACGAAAGUUAGAGGACCGAAGGCGAUCAGAUACCGCCCUAGUUCUAACCGUAAACGAUGCCAGCUAGCGAUCCGGCUGUGUUCCUCAAAUGACACGCCGGGCAGCUUCCGGGAAACCAAAGCGUGUGGGUUCUGGGGGAAGUAUGGUU